rnacentral:rRNA from 1 species
GAUGAACGCUGGCGGCGUGCCUAAUACAUGCAAGUCGAGCGAACAGAUGAGGAGCUUGCUCCUCUGACGUUAGCGGCGGACGGGUGAGUAACACGUGGAUAACCUACCUAUAAGACUGGGAUAACUUCGGGAAACCGGAGCUAAUACCGGAUAAUAUAUUGAACCGCAUGGUUCAAUAGUGAAAGACGGUUUUGCUGUCACUUAUAGAUGGAUCCGCGCCGCAUUAGCUAGUUGGUAAGGUAACGGCUUACCAAGGCAACGAUGCGUAGCCGACCUGAGAGGGUGUACGGCCACAGUGGAACUGAGACACGGUCCAGACUCCGACGGGGGGCAGAAGUAGGGAAUCUUCCGAAAAGGGGGAAAGCCUGCAGGAGGAACGCCGGGGGAGUGAAGAAGAUCUGCGUACGGUAAAACUCUUUUAUUGGGGAAAAACAAAUGUGUAAGUAACUAAGCCCGUUUUGACGGAACCUAAUCAGAAAGCCAGGGCUAACUAGGG